rnacentral:rRNA from 1 species
AACGAACGCUGGCGGCAUGCCUAACACAUGCAAGUCGAACGAGACCUUCGGGUCUAGUGGCGCACGGGUGCGUAACGCGUGGGAACCUGCCCUUAGGUUCGGAAUAACUCCCCGAAAGGGGUGCUAAUACCGGAUAAUGUCUUCGGUCCAAAGAUUUAUCGCCUUUGGAUGGGCCCGCGUUGGAUUAGCUAGUUGGUAGGGUAAAAGCCUACCAAGGCGACGAUCCAUAGCUGGGCUGAGAGGAUGAUCAGCCACACUGGGACUGAGACACGGCCCAGACUCCUACGGGAGGCAGCAGUGGGGAAUAUUAGACAAUGGGCGAAAGCCUGAUCCAGCAAUGCCGCGUGAGUGAUGAAGGCCUUAGGGUUGUAAAGCUCUUUUACCCGGGAUGAUAAUGACAGUACCGGGAGAAUAAGCUCCGGCUAACUCCGUG